UGCCCUGCUCAGUCUAUGACCCUAAGAAUGGAACUGCCAAACUCUUGGCUUCCUGUCUCACGACCCAUCACCCACCUUCAUGGAACCAUCUUCCAACUGUGCACGGUAUAGUCAAAUCAACCCAGCAGCCUGGCAUUCUUCACACUGGCUGCAAUUCCAAAGAGUUGUAAACAACAUGUCAUAGAGUCCUGCUCCUUGACCCCAACCUCUCUAUCUGAUCCAUCCCAGAAUCAUACUUUCUCCUUCUGUCCUUCAGCAAUCUGAUUUGAGUCUGUCCCAAAGUCUACCUACAACCUUCCCAGGAGUCAAACUUCUACCUUAAGAAUCAUCUAAGACUGUUAGAGCUGGAGGGAGCCUUGGAGACCAACUUCUCCAACUCCAUCCUUUGACAAAUGAGAAAACUAAAAUGCACAGGUGUGAAGUGACUUGGCCAGGGUCUCACACAGAUCCUUGGUAGUGGGUGUGGGCUAGAAUCCAGGUCCUCUAAUUCCCAGAGCACAGGGAGUUUGAAUCGCCUUAUGAGAAGAUGAAAUUAUUGCCCAAGACCCUGCCUGGCCUCCACUUCCAUGUCUGUGGAGCCCUUUGCAAGUGAAGACAUGUGUCUGAUGACCACGUCACCCAUAAAGGAUCCUGGUGUGGGAAGGAGAUGAGCCUUAGUCGGCUGUUUUAUUUUAUUUCCUUUCAUUUUAAAGCAUCAGGCAGAGAUGAUUAUGGCGCUGACCUAGAUGGCAUGCCUAUAUUGCAGUCACCUCACAAAGAAAGUAUACGUGACUGAAAGGAAGGGAAGUUUUCGUGAAUUCAUCAAGCAGGUAUUAGCCAGCUACACUCUGCUUCUUGGCUGUGCUGAGAAAAAUUGGAGAAUCUCAACCAGGUCCGCAGCACCCAACGCUGAAGCCAGACACCAGCUACACCUGGCAGCUCGUGCAUUAAAAUUCUGCAUUUUAACA